UACGUAGGGUGCGAGCGUUGUCCGGAAUUACUGGGCGUAAAGAGCUCGUAGGUGGUUUGUCGCGUUGUCCGUGAAAACUCACAACUCAAUUGUGGGCGUGCGGGCGAUACGGGCAGACUGGAGUACUGCAGGGGAGACUGGAAUUCCUGGUGUAGCGGUGGAAUGCGCAGAUAUCAGGAGGAACACCCGUAGCGAAGGCGGCACUCUGGGCCGGUACUGACGCUGAGGAGCGAAAGCGUGGGGAGCAAACAGG
rnacentral:rRNA from 1 species